AGUAUGCAGGUCAUCGCCUCGCUAGUUGCGGUACUCGCUGUCAGCUCGGCCACCUACGUCCCUCGUAUCAUCACGGCUCCUACCACGAAGGUUGACUACCACUGCUCAACCCUGUUGCUUGGACGCAAAACAAAAGAUCAGAUUCAGUUGCCACAAAGAACUGUUGGAUCACAUGACUACCUUUAUGUUUCUGAUGGAUGCUUUAAGCAAUAGAAAAAAUGGGUAGGCGAGAAUGUGACAGCCUGCGACAGCGUGGGUUCCUGGCCACCCACCAUCCUGCCCUUCAGCGCUGGCAGUUUCUCCCCCCUUUAUAUUAACUGCGCGCAGGAGAACCCCCAUCCGUGCUACGAGCUGAUAGUCGUUGAUGUCACGUUGUAUUGUGAGCCGAAGAGCUUGAAUAGCUUGU